CUUCCGUCGCAUCACGACUAUAAAUAUCUCCUUUAUUCACGUUUUUAGUUUUCUUUUCGAGUGUCUACAGAGAUCAAACAUCAAAUUACUCUGCCUCUUCGUCGCCCAGUACCAGCGUUUUCGGUCUCCUCCCGCGUGUCAUCGCAUGCUAUCCAUUUCUUCUGUUCAGUUCGAUCACUUCCUGCAUCAACAUGGAAUAUCGCUUCGGAAGAUAGUUCUCAGAUCUGUUUGGUUAGCUUUAAUCCGCGAGGAGAAGAAAACUGAAACAAGCGAGAGUCCGAGCUCAACUGUUCCUCUGUGCCUGCGGAUUACCAGACUGCUGGAACAGUUUACUGUAGUUGAGCAAGAGAGAUUCGAGCCAGAGAGGAGAAGGGGAAAGAAAAGAGAGCGACCAUUGAAGAGUGAUGGAAUCAAUUGACGAAUGGUAACAAGCAAUUGGCGAAGGGAUGAUGACAGGCGGUGGCAAGCAAUGAAGGCUGGGAGGAAAGGAGGAGAAGGGCAGUGGACCCAAGAGCUGUUGAACGAGGCAAGAGAGAAGAAAUGAGGGUAAAAAAAAAGACUGGCAAAUGGUGACGGAAACGACCAACAAACCGACCGGCAAACAACAAAGGGACAAAAAGCGGCGGAUGCUGUGCCAUGCAAGGGGGACUUUAAGAUGCUGAAUCAUCUGUUUGAUUUUGUUCGGCCACAUCGCUCAAGAAUCCCAGAUUCAUGCUCUCACGACUGUUGUUUAGGAUCUUUCUUUCAGCAUGUCAGGUAAAUAGAAGUAGUAUCGAUGGGUACUAAUACGUCCAAAUUCACAAUCAUUCUGGAUGCAACUAGCAAAGCCAGUAAUUCACUAGGUAUCUACAUUAUGGAGUGUCACGUUGCUCUAAGUAAAGGAUUCCUUGCACUCAUCGGUCAGGUAUGCCUACAUAUUCUUAAAUCUUCCGUGUGUUAGUUGUAUGAUUUAAACCCUAGAAUGUUUUAUUUGAGUUAACGUAAAAAUUUAUGGUGCACUCUUUUACCCUCUUUGUUUUUCUAAUCAUCUUGCUAGUUACAGAAACAGAGAAUUUCAUUAAACUGAAAACAUGACCAAAAAAAGUAAAAUAAAGAUACGAGUAUCUCGUAGAAAAUUAUGAUUAUAAGGUUUACUGGGGGAAUCCUCUGUUUUACUUGGGAAUAAAAUUUCAUCAACGAGAUAGAACUAUUGGCAAAAGCUAAAGGAGUUGCAAGAAUCUUCCAUUGGCACAAACCACUCAGAACCAUGACCCAAUAAAGAACAAGAAAA